CUCUUCCUCUGCAGGAUCCUGACUACUCAUAACGGCUACAACGUCACAGCUUUCAGCCAUUAUAACCUUGGCAAAAACAACAAAAACCUAUAGUGAGAAAGCUUCUUUUCACACGCCACGGCUUCUCGUGGACCCGACCGGAAGUUGAUGGUCUACCAAAAGCCAAUGAGAAUUCAACUUAAGGCAAGUUAACCAAUCAGGGCGAAGAUUGUUGGGACGUUCAUGCGCCAUCUUUACUUGUGAUACGACGUUGUUAAAGCGACGUCACGUUCUAGUUCAGCGUUGACGUAGCAAUGUAUUGUCAUCAGUGGUUUUAUUCCAGUAAGCGUUGGGGGAAAAGUUACGGUUUUAUUAAUUUAGAAGAUAUGUUUUACUUGUUGUUGGUCGAAACUGGCGAGGAUUAAAGGCUAGACAGCAUUAGCAUUCUUGUUUGUAAUGGAAUUAUUUAUUGAGGCGACUUCCGGUUUUCAACAUAAAAUGUAAACUGCUGUCAAAUUGAGUACUAAACGAGAGGUAAUGCUAUUUCCUCUUGCUUGGUCUUUGUUAAUUCUUGAAAUUCUCAAAGAUCUGAAUAUAACAGUUUAUUUUCUAAAAAAAUACUGCUGCUGAAGAUUAACAUUCUAAGCUUAAGAAUGAUACUAUGUACAUAUUCUUCCUGUUAUAUAUUUUUUUAAAUGUGCAUAUUAAGGUUUUGUUUUUACUAAGCGCGUCUUUACGCUACAAUAUUUACUUUGAAAAUCAAGACACCGGAAGUAGUGCCAAUCACACGGAAGUAAUCAUGUUUACGUUUUUCUGUGAAAUCUAUGACGCAAGAAGUACAUAAAGUAAAUUAAACGAUCAUUUACUGCGAUUUUUAAAUGUUUACCCAUUUGUUUGUUGAAUAUGUUUAAAGCGCGUUUUUAAAUUCAGCAUGUCUCUUGUACUUGGCAGAAUCGGCAAUGAUAUUACGUUUUAUUUUGAAAAAUCAGCCAGCGGAAGUGUCAUAUAUUAUUGAAACUCGGCUUGACAGCGGUCACACAGUCACAUCAGCUGCAGGAGCGUCAAGAGCGCUGACCCAUAUUUACUGCUGCGGUGGACAAAAACAGCGACGACUGGACACACAACCGAACUAAGAUAGGACCCCUUCCUAGCCGCUUUCAGCCACCACUCCUGCACGGGGAACUUUGUUUCUCUUCAGAGAAAUCUCCACCAACCCAUCAGUGCGGCUCAGAGAGAGAAAGAAAGAACGAAAGAGAAAGGAGUGGAAAAACCACCAGGGUAAAACUGGUCUCUUUACCUCACAGAAAAGUCCUUUUUGGUCACAGAGACCG